rnacentral:tRNA from 1 species
GGGGCCUUAGCUCAAUUGGCUAGAGCGUCUGCUUUGCACGCAGAAGGUCAGGAGUUCGACUCUCCUAGGCUCCACCA